CAGUCGAACGGAGAUUACAGGCGGAAGUUUUCGGAUGGAAGCUUGUAAACUUAGUGGCGGACGGGUGAGUAACACGUGAGCAACCUGCCUAUCAGAGGGGGAUAACGAUUGGAAACGAUCGCUAAUACCGCAUGACAUAGCGGAACCGCAUGGUUCUGUUAUCAAAGAUUUAUCGCUGAUAGAUGGGCUCGCGUCCGAUUAGAUAGUUGGUGGGGUAACGGCCUACCAAGUCGACGAUCGGUAGCCGGACUGAGAGGUCGAACGGCCACAUUGGGACUGAGACACGGCCCAGACUCCUACGGGAGGCAGCAGUGGGGGAUAUUGCACAAUGGGGGAAACCCUGAUGCAGCGACGCCGCGUGAGGGAAGACGGUCCUCUGGAUUGUAAACCUCUGUCUUCGGGGACGAAACGAGACGGUACCCGAGGAGGAAGCCACGGCUAACUACGUGCCAGCAGCCGCGGUAAUACGUAGGUGGCAAGCGUUGUCCGGAAUUACUGGGUGUAAAGGGAGCGUAGGCGGGCAGGCAAGUCAGGCGUGAAAUAUAUCGGCUCAACCGGUAACGGCGCUUGAAACUGCAGGUCUUGAGUGAAGUAGAGGUUGGCGGAAUUCCUAGUGUAGCGGUGAAAUGCGUAGAUAUUAGGAGGAACACCAGUGGCGAAGGCGGCCAACUGGGCUUUUACUGACGCUGAGGCUCGAAAGUGUGGGGAGCAAACAGGAUUAGAUACCCUGGUAGUCCACACCGUAAACGAUGAUUACUAGGUGUGGGGGGACUGACCCCUUCCGUGCCGGAGUUAACACAAUAAGUAAUCCACCUGGGGAGUA
rnacentral:rRNA from 1 species